rnacentral:lncRNA from 1 species
UUGCUAGAAAAACAAGGAAAUAAUUAUGCCAACUUUAAAAACGUUUAUAAUGUAAUACAAAUAGACAGGAAAUACGAAAAAAAGGUUUGAAAAACAUUGAUAAACAAAAUUUUAAUUAGCUGACCGAGUCCUUGUGUCGUUACAUCCACAUCAUUUGAACUUUGGUGGAUAGCUGUCUCACUGGCAUUCCUACUAAAUCCCUCUAUUUUUUUUGAAAAACAACCCCAAUAUAUAUUUUUACAUAUGUUGCAAAUCAACGGCCAG